ensembl:misc_RNA
GAAAGAUGCCAGAUUAAUAAUGCUCCAUCUGUCCACAGGACAGGUACAGCACAUGCAGCAGUAGUGUAAGCUUUCUUUAUACUGUCUGACCCUUUCAAAUAUACCUCAGAUCUCCCAUGGAUGAGGAGGAUCAGGGGUGAGAGGGAGUUCAUUGAUCAUAUGCAUUUAAUCCUUGGUACCU